rnacentral:rRNA from 1 species
UACGAAGGGGGCUAGCGUUGCUCGGAAUCACUGGGCGUAAAGCGCACGUAGGCGGACUCUUAAGUCGGUGGUGAAAUCCUGGAGCUCAACUCCAGAACUGCCUUUGAUACUGGAGAGCUUGAGUCCGGAAGAGGUGAGUGGAACUCCGAGUGUGGAGGUGAAAUUCGUAGAUAUUCGGAAGAACACCAGUGGCGAAGGCGGCUCACUGGUCCGGUAUUGACGCUGAAGCGCGAAAGCGUGGGGAGCGAACAGG